AGGUGAGGGUGGAAGUGCUGACUUACUGUGCAGUCAUAGGAUGCGGUGAGUGACUUCUUUUCCAGCAGCUCCUGGCAGCCAUGGUACCAUGGAAAGUGGGCAGUUGGAAUUAUCUAGGAUCAAAUGACCACGUCCAACCUGGCAGGCUCACUUGAUCGAUGUGAAAACACUCUAUGCAGAAACUGAGGUUCAGAGAUGUGAAAAACCCUGUCCCAGGACCCACAGAUAAUGAGGUACUACUGAAACAAAUGGAACCCACUAUGAGAAAAUGACUGUUCCCUGAAGUCCCCCACACACUCUGGACAGGACAGAACUAAAGGACCUAGAACUUGAAUUUUUGGACUUGCCUCCAGGACCCUGGGGAUUUCCACCAGGACAGUGAGCAUUUCCCCCUGAGAAUUCUGUGCUGUUCAAAGGCCUGAGGGACAAGACAGUCCCCAGGGAGGAGGAGGAAGCCAGUGGCAACCUGCCCUGUGGUUCUCUUACUGGGGAACUCUGUGGCUGUCAAAACUCCAUGACACGUGACACAGCUCUCUUUGUCUGAC